ACCGGCACAUGAUGUUAAAUCUUAUUCUACACACUGAAUACCACUGUGUAGACAACUCAACACCUCUGACAAACUGAUGCCGAC
rfam:Picea glauca, whole genome shotgun sequence.